CAUAAAGAUGGGAAGGCCAAGGAUUUAACAUCAAUUUUGACUUUGUAAAAAUCUAAAAAUAGAAGAUAUUAUUUUGUUUUAUUUAGUUUUAUUAUUUAUUUUUAUUUUUAUUUUAUUAAUUUAGAAUAGGCUAUUUUUAGUAACCCUAUGUAGGCUAACUCCGUGCCAGCAGCCGCGGUAAGACGGGGGGGGCAAGUGUUCUUCGGAAUGACUAGGCGUAAAGGGCACGUAGGCGGUGAAUCAGGUUGAAAGUGAAAGUUGCCAAAAACUGGCGGAAUGCUCUCGAAACCAAUUCACUUGAGUGAGACAG
rnacentral:ncRNA from 1 species